AACGCUAGCUACAGGCUUAACACAUGCAAGUCGAGGGGAAACGACAUCGAAAGCUUGCUUUUGAUGGGCGUCGACCGGCGCACGGGUGAGUAACGCGUAUCCAACCUGCCCACCACUUGGGGAUAACCUUGCGAAAGUAAGACUAAUACCCAAUGAUAUCCCACGAAGGCAUCCGAAUGGGAUUAAAGAUUUAUCGGUGAUGGAUGGGGAUGCGUCUGAUUAGCUUGUUGGCGGGGUAACGGCCCACCGUGCCGACGAUCAGUAGGAGUUCUAAGAGGAAGGUCCCCCACACUGGAACUGAGACACGGUCCAGACUCCUACGGGAGGCAGCAGUGAGGAAUAUUGGUCAAUGGGCGAGAGCCUGAACCAGCCAAGUAGCGUGCAGGACGACGGCCCUAUGGGUUGUAAACUGCUUUUAUAAGGGAAUAAAGUGAGCCUCGUGAGGCUUUUUGCAUGUACCUUAUGAAUAAGGACCGGCUAAUUCCGUGCCAGCAGCCGCGGUAAUACGGAAGGUCCGGGCGUUAUCCGGAUUUAUUGGGUUUAAAGGGAGCGUAGGCCGGAGAUUAAGCGUGUUGUGAAAUGUAGAUGCUCAACGUCUGCACUGCAGCGCGAACUGGUUUCCUUGAGUACGCACAAAGUGGGCGGAAUUCGUGGUGUAGCGGUGAAAUGCUUAGAUAUCACGAAGAACUCCGAUUG
rnacentral:rRNA from 1 species